AGAGUUUGAUCCUGGCUCAGAACGAACGCUGGCGGCGUGCUUAACACAUGCAAGUCGAACGUGAUUGAGAGCUUGCUCUCAUGAAAGUGGCGCACGGGUGAGUAACACGUGGAUAAUCUGCCUGGCGAUUCGGGAUAACACUUCGAAAGGGGUGCUAAUACCGGAUAAGCCCACAGUCUCUUCGGAGAGUGCGGGAAAAGGGGGCCUCUGUAUAUGCUCCUGUCGCUAGAUGAGUCCGCGGCCCAUUAGCUAGUUGGUAGGGUAAUGGCCUACCAAGGCGACGAUGGGUAGCUGGUCUGAGAGGAUGAUCAGCCACACUGGAACUGAGACACGGUCCAGACUCCUACGGGAGGCAGCAGUGGGGAAUUUUGCGCAAUGGGCGAAAGCCUGACGCAGCAACGCCGCGUGGGUGAUGAAGGUCUUCGGAUCGUAAAACCCUGUCGUCAGGGACGAAGGUUGCAUGUCUAAUAGAUGUGUAACUUGACGGUACCUGGAGAGGAAGCCCCGGCUAACUCUGUGCCAGCAGCCGCGGUAAUACAGAGGGGGCAAGCGUUAUUCGGAAUUAUUGGGCGUAAAGGGCGCGUAGGCGGUGUCUUAAGUGAGAUGUGUAAUCCCCGAGCUUAACUUGGGAACUGCAUCUCAGACUGGGGCGCUAGAGUGCUGGAGAGGGUGGUAGAAUUCCACGUGUAGCGGUGAAAUGCGUAGAGAUGUGGAGGAAUACCAGUGGCGAAGGCGGCCACCUGGACAGUAACUGACGCUGAGGCGCGAAAGUGUGGGGAGCAAACAGGAUUAGAUACCCUGGUAGUCC
rnacentral:rRNA from 1 species